rnacentral:lncRNA from 10 species
AGCUCUCGUUGCCCAGGCUGGAGUGCAAUGGUGUAAUCUUGGUUCACCACAACCUCUGCCUCUCAGGUUCAAGUGAUUCUCCUGUCUCAGCCUCCCAAGUAGCUAGGAUUACAGGCAUGUGCCACCACGCCCUGCUAAUUUUGUAUUUUUAGUAGAGACGGAUGGGGUUUCACCAUGUUGGUCAAGCUGGUCUCGAACUCCUGACCUCAGGUGAUCUGCCCCUAUUAGCCUCCCAAAGUGCUGGGAUUACAGUCAUGAGCCACCGCACCUGGCCCCAAACUUUUUUUUUUUUAAGCAAAGAAAUUGUUUCCUGGAUAACCUCACAUAAAGCAUCCCAGUAUGUAAAGCAGAUAAUAGUGUUGGAAGUGACAACCUGGAAUUCUGUCCAUGGGGACUCUUCUCCUUGUACUCCCACACACAGAAACCCUUCAGCUUAUGCUUCCAACGUCAGUGUCCAAAGAAACUUUAGACAAAUCCAGCCCCUUCAUUCACAGAUGGAGACAUUAUUGUUAGUUGUAGUAAAUGUUAGCUAACUACCAGUACUUACACUUUAAACGUGCCUGGCAUAGGAGAAUGAUUUUAUAUGUCUGAUAGUAUCAAAUCCCCACAACUACCUGAUAAACUAAGUAUUAUAAUGACCCUCAUUUUGCAGGUGAGUAAACAGAAGUCUAGAGAGGUACAAUCACUUCCGAAAGUCACCCAGCUGGUAAGUGGUGAAGGCAGAAUUCAGAGCCCAGUGUGGCUGACUCAAUAGCCUGUGCCAUCCACCCCUACAUGAGUUGCCCAGGGAGGUUAGAGACUGUCCCACAGUCUCAUAGGAGCUGAGCAGGGACAACGAGGUGGCCUGGUGUGGAGGGAAGGUCACGGGUGUGUGGGGCUGGAGCUCUGGGUCCAAGAUGUUCAUCAGCUGCCUGUCCUGGCUGGUAAGAGACUGAGGGUGAGUGGUCAGUGAGCAUGAGAGGGGGAAGGGAGCCUUGGGAGACCACACUGGAGAACCUGGAACUAGGGAGCUAUAGCAGGUGUCUGAGCUAGAGAAUUAAUCCUACUGUUGGCUGCACAUCAAUAUUGGGACAAUAGGCCCAGAUGUGUCAUUCCUAAUAAUCACAAUGGGGCAGGAUGGUGCUCAAAGCACUUUACUGGCAUGAUCUUAAUCAUCACAAAGCCUCUAUGAGAGAGGUGAUGUCAUGAUACCCAUUUUACAGAUGAGGUCGCUGGGGGCUCAGGGAAGUGAAGUGCUUUGUCCAGGGUCACGUGGCUGAAGAGUGGGGGAGCUGACACUUGAAGCCAAGACUGGCUGACUUUCAAGCCCACAUGCCUCUGUCAGUUAAGUGUGGUGAUGGUAAUGCUGUGUAACAAACAAUCCCCCAAAUCUCUGUGCUGUAGGACAGUAAGUGUUGAUUUAGCUCGCAUGUCUAAUGUGGGUUGGCUGAGCCAGGCUGGGCUCAGCUGGGCAGCUGUGUGCUCAUCCAUGUGUCUCUCAUCCUGUCCUGGGAUCAGUGGACUAGCCUUGGCAUAUUCCCCUCCUGCUCAUGGCAGGAGUGCAAGGGGGUGAGCAGAAACACACAAAGUCUCUUGAGGCCUAGACUCAGGACCACACAGAGUCACUCCUGCCUCAUUCUAUUGACCCUAGCAAGUCACAGGGCCAAACCCAGGGUCAAUAGGUGGGAAAUGGUACUCUGUUCUUUUAACGGGAGGAACUGCAAAGUCGCUUGGCAAGGGUGAGAAUACAAAGAAGGGUAAAGAAUUGGAGGCAAGUUUUGCAUUAUAUCAUAUUGUCUGUGCUGGUUUAAAAUAUGUUCACACAGUCUUUGAUAAUUCCUUCAAAAGAUGGAGCCUAAUUCUACAUCUCUUGAGUGUGGGCUAGCCUUACUGACUCCCUUUUAAUGAAUAGAACAAAGUGGAAGUGAUGGUGUGCAACUUCCAAGGCAAGGUCAUAAAAGACAUUGUGGCUCCCUCCUCGCUCUCUUGAGGAUCACCCACUCUAGGGAAGCCAGCUGCCAUGUCGUGGGGAUAUUCAAGCAGCCCAGUGGAGAGACCCAUGUGGUGAGGACCUGUGAUCUCCAGCCAGCAGCUGUGUGAGUGGCCUAUCUUGGAAGCAGCUCCUCCAGCCCCAGUUCAGUCUUCAGAUGAGACUGCAGCUGCAGCUGACAUCCUGACUGCAACCUGAUGAGAGACCCAGAGUCAGAACUGCUCAGACUAAAGUUGCUCCUGAAUUUCUGACCCGCAGGAACUGUGAGACAACAACUGUUUAUUGUUUUAAGUUGCCAAGUUCUGGGGUAGAUUUGCUUGCAGCAAUAGAUACGAAUGCUGUGUCUAAGUAUUCUGCCAACUCACUGCUGCCAUAGCAAGGCCCAUCAUAACAAGCGAGGCUUGGAUGGAAGCAGCUUUGUCUUCUACCCAGAGAACCAGCAAAAUCCCAACAAUUUACCAAGAUUAGAGAACCAAAAAUACCCAUGGAAACUAUAGUUGUUAAGAAACAUCUGUUUUUGAGCUGUCUAAAUUGGGUAGUUCUCAAAAGGAAUAAAAAUGUAUCAGAGGAUGGGGACAGCUGGGUGGGGACUGAUGCCAACUGCCUGGCAGGCUCAGCUGGUCACUCGGGUUCCUUCUCAGAGCUGAGGCAGGGAGAAAGAUCCAAAUAAAGAUCUGAUGGGGCAGAUUAGACAGAGCUGCCUGUAGCAAGGCACUGAGGGCUGUGUCCAGCUGCAGGGGCAGUACUUAAGCUUACUGCACCCCUACUAUGUGCCAGGUGCAGGGUGGGCACCUGCAUGUGAGGACCAGGGAUUGGGGUGUUGGAAGAUUUUGGCUUUUGGCCAGGACUAAAGGGUGAGAGGUAGUAUGGAGAAGGAAUUAAGGCCCUGUGGAGAGGCCUGGGCUUAAAUCCUGGCAUUGAUGUUUACCAGCUCUGAGGCUUGUACGUGGCCAAUCACUUAAACACUCUGGGCCAGUUUCCUCAACUGUAAAACGGGCAUAGUCACAGUGCCUACUUGAUCCAUCCUUGUGUUCCUCUCAGGCUUGCUUUGUAAGACUCCUGGACUCCUUAGGUUUUAUCAAUCCUGGUGCCCUUCCAUUGUAUCACAUCCUUGGAUCACAGUGAUGGGUUCAGGAAUAGACACAUGACCCAAGGGAGGCUAAUCAGGUGAAUAUAGGGAGAUGUUCUUUCUUUCUUAAGGUGGCUACGUUUAGGACAUGAGCCAGGGUUGCCAGUGUCACCCAUCACAUGUACCAUAUGAAUAACUCUUGUCUAAGAUCUGGCAAGAGAUGGUGGAGCCUAAUGACAUUGUUAAAGAUCCUGGAUACAGCCAUACCUGAAGCGUAUCCAGAAUUCCGGCUGAGUAUCUGUACUAGUCAAUGUUCUCCAAAUAAUAUACACAGGCAUAACUCAGAGAUACUGUAGGUUUGGUUGCAGGCCACCUCAAUAAAACAAAUAUUGCAAUAAAGUGGGUCAUAGGAAUUUUUGAUUUCCCAGUGCACGUAAAAGUUACACUAUAGUGUAUUAAGUGUGCAAUACCAUUACAUCUAAAAACCACUGUACAUACCUUAAUUAAAAAUACUUUAUUGCUAGCAAUCAUCUGAGCCUUCUGCAAAUUGUAAUCUUUUUGCUCGUGGAGGGUCAUGCCUUGAUGUUUAUGGCUGCUGACUCAUUAGGGUGGUGGUUGCUGAAGGUUGGGGUGGCUGUGGCAGUUUCUUAAAAUAUGACAACAAUAAAGUUGGCCACAUUGAUGGACUCUUUCAUUAAAGAUUUCAUGGAAGCAUA